CCGCCGCCCCGCUUUGUCCCCGGCCUCCGCCGCGCCGCCCCCGCCCCGGCCCCGCCGGGCCCCGCCGCUCCCUACCUCGCCCCGCCGCUGCCCCCGCCGCUACGAGGCGGCCAUCUUGUGCGGCGCUGCGCCCGCCCCGGCGCGGGGGGGCUCCGCCUCCACCCGCCGCGCGGCCCCGACCGGGGGUGGCCCGGGGACGGCGGCCCCCACCGAGCUGUCCCGGAGGACCGGGGGCGCGGCGGGGGGAGGGGGUGCGCGGCGCGAGGGAGCAGUUGGAGAGAUGCUGACUGUUUACACCAACGGAGCAAGAAGACGGAGAGCCAUUUGAGGAGGGCGGCAUGGGCAGCACCACUGAGCAACGACAAAUUUCAGCCCCCAGCAUCUUCCUUCUCUAUUUGCAAGAAUACCCGUGGCUUGAAGAAACCCAGCAGGAGGAGGAACAAGUGCAGUGCUGGAGUGAUGGAGGCCCUAACAGCCAUCUGGGAGCACAGCAAAGCUCUCUGUGCCCUGGAAAGAAAGGAUUCCGGAGAUGGAAGACACCUCUGACCCAUAGCAGCCCCCGUGAGAGGCUAUAUCCCAUAAGAGGAAAGGGAGAGAUGAGGCCGCUGUCUGCCCCAGGAGGCCCUGACCCCAGCAGUGGGCACGGGGGGGGGGGUUCAGCCCUUUUGUGGGUCUCAUCCUCUGCACAGUGCAGGGAGUGAGGUGCCCCCACACCUCUCCUUAGCUGGAGGCAGAGAAGAGCUGCGUGAUGCUUGAUGGUUUCAAGGAGAAAAAAAAAAGAGAGAAAGAACGGAAGAAAAACAAGAAAGCAUCUGGAUUUUGUUGUAAGCUAAACACAAAUAACAGCACAGAGAUUUCUGCUGGUUUUGUUUUGUUUUCCAUUGGAACGGACCCAAGCACGUUCACCCUGUGCUGCAGCACAGAUGUGGGGGGGGGGGAAUCUAUGGCACACAUCCCAGCGGCCUCACGGAUACCCACAGUGCUGCUGCAGGGAGGGCAGCUCAGGGCCCAGCAGCAGUGCCAGCCGUGCGCCCAUCUUCAUGACCACAGCGCUCAUUUGGACUCGGGGUGCUGCGGUGGAGCUCCGUCUUGCAGCGCCUUCACGAAGUCCCCCACCUGUGCCAUCAGCGCGUCCUGCGCGGCCGCAUCGUGCUCAAAGUCCCCCUCGACGUCCAGCACCAGGACAGGUGCGUGCCUCACCUCCGCAAAAUGCACCUCAGCGCUGCGCUCCAGCAGCCACCGCUCGUGCUGCGCGUGGAGCUGCUGCAGGUACCGCAGGGUCACGUCGCGUUCCUCCGGCCUCGCCCGGCACCGCAGCCUCUCCAGGCAUCUCUGCGGGGAGGCGCGGAGAUAGAGGAAGCCGUGCGGGGCGGUGUGCGCGCCCAGCUGCCCCACGAGGAACGUGUGCCACUCCUGGUAGAUGGCCCACUCCAGGGCGUCCAGCUGCCCGCCCUCGAACAGGCUCUUGGCGAAGACGUACCUGUCGCUGUACACGGAGCGCUCAGACACCCGCACGGGGCCCUCCGGCCGCUCGAGCUGCGCCUGCAGGCGGCCCAGGCACGAGAAGGUCUGGAAGGUGAAGGCCCAGCGCGCCGGGUCGCGGUACAGCCGCUGCAGGAGAUUGCCGCCCUGCGCCGCUCCCGCCACCACCUCCCGCCAGCGCGCCACCGGCUCCGCCGCCCGCUGCCACGCGGGGAAGGCGCGGCCCAGCAGCCGCAGGAACGUCGAUUUGCCCACGGCGAUGUUGCCCUCCAGCGCCAGGCGCAGCGCGGCGCCGCUCCGCCCCA
rnacentral:lncRNA from 1 species